UGUUAGUGCUGCUCCAUAUCUAGUUUUUCCUGUACCAGCAGAAGAUACGUACCAGGAGAUUAUCUUCUUUUUCUAGCUCAUUGUUCAAGUCACAUGCCCAACUUUAUGCAGUUACACAUUAAUGCCUACAUUCAGUGAAGCAGUUAAACACAUGAUCUUCUUAGCACGACUGAGGAAGGUUCCCA